ACCCAGCUGACGAGUCUCAAAUAGAACGAAACGCGCGUUAAUCUGGAU
rfam:Schistosoma rodhaini strain Burundi genome assembly, scaffold: SROB_scaffold0000075